ACCAAAGCCUGGAUCAGGCUCUUUAUGGGAUCCUGAGUGACAGACACUCGGCUGAGAUUACACAUGGAGAUCUCCACCCCACUCGAAGCUGUCCAAGUUUUAAUGACUGGGAUCCUACCAGUGAGCUACAUAUGAGGGGGAAGCCUCGGGAGAUGACUGCAGGUGUCUGUAAGGCGGGGAUUUACAUUUUCUCAGGACAGGCAGCCCAUGGAGAGAGGCCUGCUGGCAGAUCAAAGGCUCCGGCUGUAAAACGAUCUG